rnacentral:rRNA from 1 species
AUUGAACGCUGGCGGCAGGCCUAACACAUGCAAGUCGAGCGGGGUUUUCGGACCUAGCGGCGGACGGGUGAGUAAUGCGUAGGAAGCUACCCGAUAGAGGGGGAUACCAGUUGGAAACGACUGUUAAUACCGCAUAAUGUCUACGGACCAAAGUGUGGGACCUUCGGGCCACAUGCUAUCGGAUGCGCCUACGUGGGAUUAGCUAGUUGGUGAGGUAAUGGCUCACCAAGGCGACGAUCUCUAGCUGGUUUGUAGAGGAUGAUCAGCCACACUGGAACUGAGACACGGUCCAGACUCCUACGGAGGCAGCAGUGGGGAAUAUUGGACAAUGGGCGCGAAGCCUGAUCCAGCCAUGCCGCGUGUGUGAAGAAGGCCUU